GAUGAACGCUGGCGGCGUGCCUAAUACAUGCAAGUCGAGCGAACGGACGAGAAGCUUGCUUCUCUGAUGUUAGCGGCGGACGGGUGAGUAACACGUGGAUAACCUACCUAUAAGACUGGGAUAACUUCGGGAAACCGGAGCUAAUACCGGAUAAUAUUUUGAACCGCAUGGUUCAAAAGUGAAAGACGGUCUUGCUGUCACUUAUAGAUGGAUCCGCGCUGCAUUAGCUAGUUGGUAAGGUAACGGCUUACCAAGGCAACGAUGCAUAGCCGACCUGAGAGGGUGAUCGGCCACACUGGAACUGAGACACGGUCCAGACUCCUACGGGAGGCAGCAGUAGGGAAUCUUCCGCAAUGGGCGAAGGCCUGACGGAGCAACGCCGCGUGAGUGAUGAAGGUCUUCGGAUCGUAAAACUCUGUUAUUAGGGAAGAACAGAUGUGUAAGUAACUGUGCACAUCUUGACGGUACCUAAUCAGAAAGCCCCGGCUAACUACGUG
rnacentral:rRNA from 1 species